AUUGAACGCUGGCGGCAGGCCUAACACAUGCAAGUCGAGCGGAUGAAGGGAGCUUGCUCCUGGAUUCAGCGGCGGACGGGUGAGUAAUGCCUAGGAAUCUGCCUGGUAGUGGGGGAUAACGUCCGGAAACGGGCGCUAAUACCGCAUACGUCCUGAGGGAGAAAGUGGGGGAUCUUCGGACCUCACGCUAUCAGAUGAGCCUAGGUCGGAUUAGCUAGUUGGUGGGGUAUAGGCCUACCAAGGCGACGAUCCGUAACUGGUCUGAGAGGAUGAUCAGUCACACUGGAACUGAGACACGGUCCAGACUCCUACGGGAGGCAGCAGUGGGGAAUAUUGGACAAUGGGCGAAAGCCUGAUCCAGCCAUGCCGCGUGUGUGAAGAAGGUCUUCGGAUUGUAAAGCACUUUAAGUUGGGAGGAAGGGCAGUAAGUUAAUACCUUGCUGUUUUGACGUUACCAACAGAAUAAGCACCGGCUAACUUCGUG
rnacentral:rRNA from 1 species